rnacentral:rRNA from 1 species
AGAGUUUGAUCCUGGCUCAGAACGAACGCUGGCGGCGCGUCUUAAGCAUGCAAGUCGAACGGCAAGAGAGAAGCUUGCUUCUCUCCUAGAGUGGCGGACUGGUGAGGAACACGUGGGUAAUCUACCCUUAAGAUGGGGAUAGCUGUUAGAAAUAGCAGGUAAUACCGAAUACACUCGAUAGUUCAUAAGAAGUAUUGAGGAAAGGAAGCUACGGCUUCGCUUGAGGAUGAGCUUGCGUCCCAUUAGCUAGUUGGUGAGGUAACGGCCCACCAAGGCGACGAUGGGUAUCCGGCCUGAGAGGGUGAACGGACACAUUGGGACUGAGAUACGGCCCAAACUCCUACGGGAGGCAGCAGCUAAGAAUAUUCCGCAAUGGACGGAAGUCUGACGGAGCGACGCCGCGUGGAUGAAGAAGGCUGAAAAGUUGUAAAAUCCUUUUGUUGAUGAAGAAUAAGGGGAAGAGGGAAUGCUUCUCUGAUGACGGUAGUCGGCGAAUAAGCCCCGGCUAAUUACGUGCCAGCAGCCGCGGUAACACGUAAGGGGCGAGCGUUGUUCGGAAUUAUUGGGCGUAAAGGGCAUGUAGGCGGUUAUGUAAGCCUGAUGUGAAAUCCUGGGGCUUAACCCCAGAAUAGCAUUGGGUACUGUGUAACUUGAAUUACGGAAGGGAAACUGGAAUUCCAAGUGUAGGGGUGGAAUCUGUAGAUAUUUGGAAGAACACCGGUGGCGAAGGCGGGUUUCUGGCCGAUAAUUGACGCUGAGAUGCGAAAGUGUGGGGAUCGAACAGGAUUAGAUACCCUGGUAGUCCACACCGUAAACGAUGUACACUAGGUGUUGGGGCAAGAGCUUCAGUGCCAAAGCAAACGCGAUAAGUGUACCGCCUGGGGAGUAUGCCCGCAAGGGUGAAACUCA